rnacentral:rRNA from 1 species
GACGUAGGGCGCGAGCGUUGUCCGGAUUUAUUGGGCGUAAAGAGCUCGUAGGCGGCUUGUUGCGUCGGCUGUGAAAACCCGCGGCUUAACCGCGGGCCUGCAGCCGAUACGGGCAGGCUAGAGUUCGGUAGGGGAGACUGGAAUUCCUGGUGUAGCGGUGAAAUGCGCAGAUAUCAGGAGGAACACCGAUGGCGAAGGCAGCUCGCUGGGACGGUACUGACGCUGAGACGCGAAAGCGUGGGGAGCAAACGGG